UACGUAGGGACCAAGCGUUGUUCGGAUUUACUGGGCGUAAAGGGCGCGUAGGCGGCGUGACAAGUCACUUGUGAAAUCUCUGGGCUUAACCCAGAACGGCCAAGUGAAACUGUUGUGCUAGAGUGCAGAAGGGGCAAUCGGAAUUCUCGGUGUAGCGGUGAAAUGCGUAGAUAUCGAGAGGAACACCCGUGGCGAAGGCGGUUCUCUGGGACGGUACUGACGCUGAGACGCGAAAGCGUGGGGAGCGAACAGG
rnacentral:rRNA from 1 species